rnacentral:rRNA from 1 species
GAUGAACGCUGGCUACAGGCUUAACACAUGCAAGUCGAGGGGAAACGACGGGGAAGCUUGCUUCCCCGGGCGUCGACCGGCGCACGGGUGAGUAACGCGUAUCCAACCUGCCUCUGACUGAGGGAUAACCCGUCGAAAGUCGGCCUAAUACCUCAUGGUAUCGUCUGCGGGCAUCCAACGACGAUUAAAGAUUUCAUCGGUCAGGGAUGGGGAUGCGUCUGAUUAGCUUGUUGGCGGGGUAACGGCCCACCAAGGCUACGAUCAGUAGGGGUUCUGAGAGGAAGGUCCCCCACAUUGGAACUGAGACACGGUCCAAACGCCUACGGGAGGCAGAAGUGAGGAAUAUUGGUAAAUGGGCGAGAGCCUGAACCAGCCAAGUAGCGUGCAGGAAGACGGCCCUAUGGGUUGUAAACUGCUUUUAUGCGGGGAUAAAGUGAGGGACGUGUCCCUCAUUGCAGGUACCGCAUGAAUAAGGACCGGCUAAUUCCGUG